rnacentral:lncRNA from 1 species
AGAACAUUUUUAAAAUGUAACAUUUGGAACUAUUACUUGAAUAGUUUGUCCUUAGUUAAGACGACGUUUAUUUUUUACUCUUAUUCUCCUUCAGGAGAAUGCUCUCUUGACAAAAUAAGAUGUCAUCCACUCUGUGUGUGUGUGUGUGUGUGUGUGUGUGUGUAUCAUUAUUCAGCUAGUUAUAAAUUUAUAUAUGAAUUUUCUACUAACUUGUGUGUCCUGUUGUUCCACUUCCAUGAUAUUGACCUUAACCUUUUCACUUUAUUUUUCAGAAAAACCUCAGGGAAAAAAUGGACAUGGCCUAAGGCAAGACCGAUGAUUGACGUAACUUUUAUGGCUGAAGGGAGGCUGUAUUACCUCUUUGUCUGGUAUCAUUUUGACAUUAUUCUUCUUGGAACACAGGCAUGUAUGGAAGUAACACGUUUCCCUCCACUUGGUGAAAAGGACUUUAGGUCUCAUGGUUCCAAUACUCAGAAACGUGCCUCAGUUAGGACCCCACAGAAAACUAUGGCAGUGUUUGAAAACUUUACCUUCCUCCAUUCCUGACAUCUUACUUCUUUGGGGGUGAAUUUUUCAUUUCUUCCUCUGACUUUAUCAGCAAAUGUUAGGCAAAAGGGCAAAUUAUGUGGUCAUUUUUUCUGUGUAAUUUCACAGUUUCAUCUGCUUUGUAUCUUAGUCUUCGGUGCUCGAUCACCAUCUUCUUCAAGGUCAACGUACAUACAUUCUUGUUUAACAUCCGUUUUGUGUAAUUAUAUUUUCAAUCACAUUUUGGUUUACAGAUUGAAUGGAAUUUAGGAACACAUUUUGUCAACGCAUGAAAUAGACUUCAUAGGACUAUGGCAGCAGAUACAGUUUGUGACAGAGGAGUACUUUUCUGUACUUUUCCAUUACAUUUUAGAUGCUUUUCCCAUAUAUGUGAGCAACUUGGUCUUUUAUGGUGAAAGAGCAGGAAGGCCCAAUGCAAGAUCAAUGAUUGUCAUUGCUUAUAUCAGAGGAAGGUCUGCUCUAUGUUCUGUCAUUGUUUCCUUUUCUAUCUUAACUCCUUUUGCACAAAAGUAUGGGAGUAUAAAACAACAUUGCCUUUCAUGGGCUACCUGGCAUUUGCAACCUUUGAUUCCAAUUCUUAGGAAUGUGGUUCAAGUUUAAGGAAAAAGUGAACAAUGGAAGGGUUUCAAAUUAUUGGCCUCUUCUCUUCCGGAUAUUGUGCCUUCAUUUGUAUUUUAAAUGGCUAUUUCUUCUUUUUAUUUUUCAGCUAAGGGUGAACAGAAUAAUGGCAAGUCCCUUUAAUACUUUACACCUUGUAUUUUGUCACAUUUCUUCUGUUUCUAUAUCAUUUGUCUUUGAUGGUCCGUGAUCAUCUUUCUCAACUCCAACCUACACAUAUAAUGUUACAUCAUAAUUUUUUCAUU